UACGUAGGGGGCAAGCGUUGUCCGGAUUUAUUGGGCGUAAAGAGCGUGUAGGCGGCCAGAUAGGUCCGUUGUGAAAACAUCGGAGGCUCAACCUCGAGACGCCGAUGGAAACCAUCUGGCUAGAGUCCGGAAGAGGAGAGUGGAAGUUACCUGGUGUAGCGGUGAAAUGCGCAGAUAUCAGGAAGAACACCCGUGGCGAAGGCGGUUCUCUGGGACGGUACUGACGCUGAGACGCGAAAGCGUGGGGAGCGAACAGG
rnacentral:rRNA from 1 species